CCAUCUAUGAGGUUACAGCUCACCGC
rnacentral:tRNA from 1 species